UGAGCUGGUGUGGGUCGCAGAGACCAGUGAGAAGCGACUGUUUACUAAAAACACAGGUCCGUGCGAAGUCGUAAGACGAUGUAUACGGACUGACGCCUGCCCGGUGCUGGAAGGUUAAGAGGACCGGUUAGUUCUUCGGAGCGAAGCUGAGAAUUUAAGCCCCAGUAAACGGCGGUGGUAACUAUAACCAUCCUAAGGUAGCGAAAUUCCUUGUCGGGUAAGUUCCGACCUGCACGAAUGGCGUAACGACUUCUCAGCUGUCUCAACCAUAGACUCGGCGAAAUUGCAUUACGAGUAAAGAUGCUCGUUACGCGCGGCAGGACGAAAAGACCCCGGGACCUUCACUACAGCUUGGUAUUGGUGUUCGGUUCGGUUUGUGUAGGAUAGGUGGGAGACUGUGAAGCAUGCACGCCAGUGUGUGUGGAGUCGUUGUUGAAAUACCACUCUGAUCGUAUUGGAUACCUCAACCUCGGACCAUGAUCUGGUUCAGGGACAGUGCCUGGUGGGUAGUUUAACUGGGGCGGUUGCCUCCCAAAAUGUAACGGAGGCGCCCAAAGGUUCCCUCAGCCUGGUUGGCAAUCAGGUGUCGAGUGCAAGUGCACAAGGGAGCUUGACUGUGAGACUGACAAGUCGAGCAGGGACGAAAGUCGGGACUAGUGAUCCGGCACCGGCAAGUGGAAGCGGUGUCGCUCAACGGAUAAAAGGUACCCCGGGGAUAACAGGCUGAUCUUCCCCAAGAGUCCAUAUCGACGGGAUGGUUUGGCACCUCGAUGUCGGCUCGUCGCAUCCUGGGGCUGGAGUAGGUCCCAAGGGUUGGGCUGUUCGCCCAUUAAAGCGGCACGCGAGCUGGGUUUAGAACGUCGUGAGACAGUUCGGUCUCUAUCCGCCGCGCGCGUCAGAAACUUGAGGAAGGCUGUCCCUAGUACGAGAGGACCGGGACGGACGAACCUCUGGUGUGCCAGUUGUUCCACCAGGAGCACCGCUGGUUAGCUACGUUCGGAAGGGAUAACCGCUGAAAGCAUCUAAGCGGGAAGCCUGUUCCAAGAUGAGGUUUCUCACCCCCUCGAGGGGGUAAGGCCCCCGGCAGACCACCGGGUUGAUAGGCCAGAACUGGAAGCCCAGCAAUGGGUGCAGGUGACUGGUACUAAUAGGCCGAGGACUUACCACA
rfam:Rhodococcus sp. MEB064 contig_42, whole genome shotgun sequence.